rnacentral:misc_RNA from 1 species
AAUCAAAUCCUUUGAUUUUCAGAUCAUCAUAAGGCCAAUAGUCGUUUAGCUAACCCUAUUGAACUUUUACAUGGGUUUUUACAGCAAGCGUUUGGGGUUUAAUUUUGGUAUAUUAACCCUGGAUUUUUAUCUUAGAUUUGGCUAAAGUUGAUUAUGUCAAGCAAGUUGCAUGUGGGAGUUGUUGCUUUUUGUUUAAGUUCAAUCUGAU